rnacentral:misc_RNA from 1 species
GAUGAAGAACGUAGUGAAAUGCGAUAAGUAAUGUGAAUUGCAGAAUUCAGUGAAUCAUCGAAUCUUUGAACGCACCUUGCGCCCCUUGGUUAUUCCAAAGGGCAUGCCUGUUUGAGUAUCAUGAACACCUCAACUCUUGUGGUUUCCCACAAUGAGCUUGGACUGUGGAGGUUUUGUUGGCCCUGUGGUCAGCUCCUCUCAAAUGGAUCAGCUUACCGGUGUUUGGUGGCAUUACGGGUGUGAUAACUAUCUACGCUCGUGGUCGUCUCCAAAUAACCUCCAGUGAUGGAGGUUCGCUGGAGCUUAUAAAUGUCUCUCCCCAGUGAAGACAGCCUUUGAACGUUCGAUCUCCAAUCAGGUAGGACUACCCGCUGAACUUAAGCAUAUCAAUAAGCGGAGGA